ensembl:lncRNA
CUGUAUGUGAGGAGGGAAAAGAAAACUAUGGAACUGCAAUAAAAUGACUCCAGCUAAGAAAUUAGCAGGACAGCAUUAUGGGCAGUUGUUCCUGAAGCUAUCUAAAACUGCAUUAAGACUUCACGCUGACCAACUAAUGAAACCAUUUCAAUGGAACUUUGGAUUUUUCAUCAGGCCAUAUUUCCUUCACUUUUGAUAAACUUUGUGAUUCAAAGAAUUGCUGACAAAUUUGGCUGAAGAGCAUAGUGGUACAUUUGAGGAAGAUAUUGCUAAAUCAGAGUAAGCUUAGCAGAGACUCCCAAUGAGGUCUAGUUAGGGUAUUUAGCAAAUAACUUGCAAUAACUUAUUUUUGAUGCCUGAUUUAAUCCCGUGUAUUACAUGCUGUUUGUUGACAAACAACAGAGAAGCAAGCCUGUAAUUUCAAGAGGAAGCCAUCAGAAACAUAAACAUCUACAAGACCAGGAAUCCUGCUAUGAGUUUGCUGCCUGGCCUUGCAACCUUGCAAUAUGUGCUGCAAUCUGCUUAAUUAAGCCUUUAGAUACAAGCAGCAAAUAAAUAAAGCUGGAAUGGUAGGAGCAAAGUAAUACUUAAGUUCACCGGUCUGGUUCCAAAGGUAAUACUGGACCUGCUCACAAGUCAAAGAUACAGUUAAUUUGUAAUAAUGACGAUAGAACAAAUUUUCCAGGAAACUGAAACUUUGCUCUUAAUAGGUUCUGUUCCUGUAAAGAUCUGGUUGUCAUAAAACAUUGGAUAAGAAGCCAGGUACAACUUGGAUCAUGACUGUUAAACUACAUUUCGUAAUCAUCCGCUGUUUGGACAGGCUGGCCUUGGGAGCCUCACCCUUCCACGGGUGUAGGGUAUAAAUUCUGAUGCUCUGCUUCAUUGGCACCUCUUGUGCAAGAUGGGUACAAACAAGAUCCUGCUUUUCCUCUUAAGCGCAGCAAUUCUGGAUGCCACCUCAGAAACAACAACUGAAUACCCAUGGAGAACUGCACCUGCAGCAGACAGUGAAAGAGAUAACUCAUAUAUCUGAGAGCGCUGUCCAACUGGUUAUUCAGCACUGAUGGGCCUGGGGCCAUGACCACUUCCCUGGGGGCCACUUGCAGUGCCCUGCCCGCCUGUCUGUGCACAGCUGUUCCCCAUACCCACACCAAUCCUCCUGAGGCAGCUUUAAGCCAUUCCCCUUUAUCCGUCACGAGGAAGGUGCAGACAGCAACCACAUCCCUUCUCAGGAUCCUGCUCCCUAGGCUGAACGGUCCAGGUGACCUCUGCCACCCCUCAUAAAUUGUGCCAUCUAAUCAAUUUUUCCAUCAUUUCA